AUGACAGGGUUUAGAGUCGUCGGCAAUUUUAACAAGGUAAACGACGGUGAGAGAGUAUACAUCCCGCAUCCAGACCUUCGGCGAACAAGUAGGGGCAGACGAAAGGCCCGUCGCAUCCGGAACGAUAUGGACCAGUCUAAAGCUGGUGGAGCAACCAGGCAAUGUUUGUUAUGCACGGCUUAUGGGCAUAGGAUGAAAUAUUGUCCCAACCUGAACAAAGAUGGUGCUUCCGCAUCGACGAGUGCUUCCACAUCGACGGCUGCGACAACAAGAGCAAGAGGCGGACGUGGUCGUGGCAGUCGAGGCCGAAGGGGCGGACGAGGAAGAAAUAACUCACAAGCUAUAUAA
rnacentral:rRNA from 1 species